rnacentral:rRNA from 3 species
AAAACAACUCUCGGCAACGGAUAUCUCGGCUCUCGCAUCGAUGAAGAACGUAGCAAACUGCGAUACUUGGUGUGAAUUGCAGAAUCCCGUGAACCAUCGAGUCUUUGAACGCAAGUUGCGCCCGAAGCCCUUAGGCCGAGGGCACGUCUGCCUGGGCGUCACGC